AAACUCAGAUGUUGAGCGUGAAGGAUAACGUUGCGUCAGCAACGGCCCGAAGGGCGAGGCGAAGCCGAGUCAUCCUGCACGACCCACCA
rnacentral:sRNA from 1 species